rnacentral:lncRNA from 1 species
UGGUGGUAAUCAUUACCUGCCACCUAACCCGCUGAAUCGUCUGGACAACCCUGUGAAGUAAGACGCAGUAAAUUUAAGCUCCAUUUUACCGAGGAGGCAAGCGAAGUGCAGAGGUUAAUGACUCUCCCAAGGACACACUGAAAACAGGCGAGUGGAAUCCCGGCAUGCCUCUCUCCGAAGGCGAACUGGGUGGUCCACGUGGCGCUGCCGUGUGAGUCCCUAGGGCACCCCGGCUGCAGGCGCGCGCGUGCGCGCGCUCUCCGGGAAGAAAAGCGCUUUGGGGGCAACCCUAGAAACCAGAGCAAGCAGGCAUGCGGGAUUGGAGGAGCCAGACAAGGGCGAAAGUCAGGCGGCGGCCGCUCAAGCAGCUUCUCCAGCUGCGCAACUUCUCCGUUCGGCCCAACUGCAGUUCCUGCGGUCGACACACGGGGGAGCCAGAGCCGGCCAAGAGCUGCCGGCGGUAAAUACCAUAAUUGUCCCAGGUGUGAGGAAUUCAGGAAGGGCUUAGCUGGACGGUUUAUUUUUGCUUCUCUGCCAAGCCAGCCUCCUUACUCACAGGACAAGGCCUCACCACUUCUUGACCUCCCUCUGCAAGUGAUGCCAUCCCCUCCAGGACUCCCCUGCAUGCUUUGGGCUUCUCACAGCUGGUCAUUGCAGUUCAGGUAAGAGGCAGGAUGUAGAACCUGCUGGGCAAGUUAAGGGAUAUGCUUGGAACUAUAACAGUGUCCUUUUGCUAGAUUUUAUUGGCCAGAGAACGUAAACACCAGCCCAAAUUCAAAGGAAAGGAUCGCCGACCUCCUUUCUCUAUGGGAGAACUGUCAAAGAAUUUGUGAUCACCUUUAUUCCACCACAGUAGCUAUUUCCAAAUUGCCCUCCAAUAUGCUGGUUAGUUUACAUUCCUGCAAUGUUUGGGGCUGUCUCCCCAUACCCUCACCAACACUAUACGUUGCAAAACCUUUCAUUGGUGCCAAUCUGGCAGUUGAAAAUGGCAUUUCAUUGCUACUUUGUUAUCUGUUUCUUAAAUUAUGAGUGAAGGUGAGCAUCUUUUCAUGUAUUUACUGUUCAUCUGGAAUUUUUCUUUCUUUAUGAAUUGCC